CCCAGGCCAAAAGGGGUACCAGGGGUGCAGGAGGGGAGGUGGGUGUGAGGCACAGAUGACCCUGACCUUGAGGAAGGGGCAGUGGUGACCGUGAACCUGCGAAUCCACCAAGAAGAAUCGGGUGAGACACACCCUGCCUCUGUGACAGGCCCUGUGGGGAGUCGCGUUCAUGGGGACCCGCCCUCCGGCAAGGCUGUGGUCAGUGAUCACUUACACUUGAGUCCCUCAAAGGGCUGGGGUUCCCCAAAGGGGGUCCGUGCGGGGGUCAUGAGCUCUGUCCUCACCCAGUUCUACCUGUGAGUAGCAGUUUGGAUGAAAUUUGAGAGUUUGCAGGAGGGCCAGGACCAAGACCCAAGCCUUCCCUCCUGCUGGACUGAUUGAGGGUCAAAUUCAUCUCCACAAGUCACACAGGGCAAAACUCACACCCACGUAGCCAGCCAGCAGGGAGGUGGGGCCGCACAGCACCUCAGGGAACAGAAAGACCAAGAGCAAGUUCAAGGGUAACAUGGCCACCUGAGAAGGAAACGUGGGUUGACUUAAUAGAGGUACGUUAGGUAGAAUAGAGGAGGUGAUCUGGUUCUGCCCAGUACUGCUUAGCCACGAUGAAGGGUUUGGUUUCAGACCUCCAAGGAGAUCAUAAAAGCUCAUGCUAACAUUGCACCCACCACACGCCAGACACUGUGCUAGAAACUCUGCAUAUAUUAACAUGUUGGAUACUUAUGGUAACCCUGUGACAUCUGUGCUGUUAUUUCCAAUUUACAGAUGAGGUGCAGACAUGUUCGUGAACUUGCCUGAGUUCCUACGGCAACUAAGUGGUGGGGCCGGGGCCCAAGCCGAGGCAGCCUGGCCCCACAGCCCGUGUGACUAACCACAUCCCGUGUGGCUUACAGGACCUCCCUAUGCCAUGGGCAGAGGUACUGACUGGCUUCACAGACCCCCGGACAACAGAUGGUGAGCGAUGGUUUUGCAGGCCAUCCCUACCUCAGAACACCCCCUUCCACCCUGACAGGCCUGGCUUCCACUGGGCACUGAGGAAAGACCUGAUGGACUGAGCGUGGUGGGCUUGGGAGCGAGAAAGGCUUUCAGCCAGGACCCAGGAGAGGCCCUGUGGAGGGGUCAGUUACCCCUGGUGCUACUUCCCAUUCGUCAGCCAGGCCCGCUGAGGAUGACCUACUCUCCCUUCUUCCUACAAGGUACUGCGGCCCCAGGGUGUCCAGAGGAAUCAGUGGCCAAGACCUUUCGUUGGUCCCCAUUCUCCUCUUCCUCCUUUACUAAUUGAACUCCAAAUUUAAGCUGGACCCACCAAAAUACUACAUUUCUAGCUGCCCUUGCAGCUAGGACCACAUUCCAGCCAACAGGAUGUGAGUGGAGUUGAAGUGUUCCACUGGUGAACGACUCCCUUAAAAGGAAUGGGCCUAGGCCGGGCGCGGUGGCUCAAGCCUGUAAUCCCAGCACUUUGGGAGGCUGAGACGGGCGGAUCACGA